AAAUACUCCUGACUGACCGAUAGUGAACCAGUACCGUGAGGGAAAGGCGAAAAGAACCCCGGCGAGGGGAGUGAAAAAGAACCUGAAACCGUGUACGUACAAGCAGUGGGAGCACAGAGCAAUCUGUGUGACUGCGUACCUUUUGUAUAAUGGGUCAGCGACUUAUAUUCUGUAGCAAGGUUAACCGAAUAGGGGAGCCGAAGGGAAACCGAGUCUUAACCGGGCGUUAAGUUGCAGGGUAUAGACCCGAAACCCGGUGAUCUAGCCAUGGGCAGGUUGAAGGUUGGGUAACACUAACUGGAGGACCGAACCGACUAAUGUUGAAAAAUUAGCGGAUGACUUGUGGCUGGGGGUGAAAGGCCAAUCAAACCGGGAGAUAGCUGGUUCUCCCCGAAAGCUAUUUAGGUAGCGCCUCGUGAAUUCAUCUCCGGGGGUAGAGCACUGUUUCGGCAAGGGGGUCAUCCCGACUUACCAACCCGAUGCAAACUGCGAAUACCGGAGAAUGUUAUCACGGGAGACACACGGCGGGUGCUAACGUCCGUCGUGAAGAGGGAAACAACCCAGACCGCCAGCUAAGGUCCCAAAGUCAUGGUUAAGUGGGAAACGAUGUGGGAAGGCCCAGACAGCCAGGAUGUUGGCUUAGAAGCAGCCAUCAUUUAAAGAAAGCGUAAUAGCUCACUGGUCGAGUCGGCCUGCGCGGAAGAUGUAACGGGGCUAAACCAUGCACCGAAGCUGCGGCAGCGACACUGUGUGUUGUUGGGUAGGGGAGCGU
rnacentral:rRNA from 1 species